rnacentral:sRNA from 1 species
UCCGGCCUGUAAUACAGACCUGAGUUUAUGCAACAAAUGAAACAAAACCUUCGUUACACCGCUUCACCUUGUCAGUAAGUCAUGUUGUCCUGAAGUUGUUCAUUCCCAGCUUGUCAUAACUAAGAAAUCUAUUGCGGCUUUAUAGCGCAAGAGCGCUUGGCUUUAUAUUAUUGAAAAUAUCAGGAGAUACCUCAUGGCUCGUUUAACUGGCACUGUAAAAUGGUUCAAUGCAGAGAAAGGUUUUGGUUUCAUUAAUCAAGACAAUGGUGGUGCAGACGUAUUCGUACAUUUCCGUGCAAUCAAAUCUGAAGGCUACAAAACUUUGACUGAAGGCCAAAAAGUUUCUUUCGAAACUGAAAAAGGUCAAAAAGGUCUGCAAGCUGCAAACGUAGAAGCUAUCUAAGCUUUUAGUUUUUAGCUAAGAAUCUCAAAAAGGACUUCACUGAAGUCCUUUUUGCUU